rnacentral:rRNA from 1 species
AUGAGUCCACCAUACCUUCCUAUAUGCGGUAUUUACCUGUCGUUCCAAGGAAAUUUCUAUGUGCCAAACUCCAAACCUUCAAAUGAAAUUCUGUUUUGUAUGCUCGAUCAGCUCAUGUUUCAACUAGGGCUGCCUAUAUCUUCCAUGCUAGGUGGAUUAUUCUCAAGAGGAGUGGACUCUGCUCCUCAUUCACGAGAAAAUGCCGGUAACCGGGAUGCCCAGUCCCAUGAUCCAAAAAGAUCAAAGCAAGUCAAAAUAAUUAAACAAAACUCCCCCAGGGCUGUUAUUAGUUGGAGGCACUCAUUGUUUGGAACAAGCCAUGGAUUGAUGCUUGUUGGUGGUUGGGGGAGUAUAAACCUUUACCAUUCUGUUUGCGAACUGCCUAUAAUGCAUGUAGUAUGGAAGAUACAACCAUCUCAUAGUUGUUGCGUUGACAGUGAAAGUAUGCCGCUCAAAAUGUUAUUCAAUCUCUAUUUUAAAAUCAAGCUCUGGCACCUCUACAAAUCCCUGCUUCCCUCUGUGAAGGGCCUAUCUAUUUACUUUUAUGUUGAGUCAUCACCCUCUUAUUAA